CUUCACCAUGAAGUCAGAGUACCAAAUUUGUGACAGUACAAUCAUUUCCAUGGCAACAGAACAUGGUCCUCAUUUUACUCUGUCCAAGAUCAAGCAACAGUGUCGGGUAUUGUGUGCCAACAAUGAGAAGGUAGCUAAGACAUGCAUAGAAGGCUGGUAACAAAUGCUAGAGAUGAACUUGCAUAAAGUUUUCAUUGGCACUUUUGAUGUCACCAAUAUUUUCCAGCUGUGACAUCACAAUAGAAGAUAUGUAGUAUUUAGGAGAGAUCAAGGACUCUGCAGAAUGAUGCUGUCUUUGAAGGAGGUGUUUCUGGAUCAUGGAAUACAUUUAUUUUCAAGUAGGCAAGAUGUUUCCAAGUUGGUCUCCAAAGUGGUUGUACCAAUUUACAUUUUAACUAACAAUAGCUCCUCCCUCCUCUCUUUGCCUCCUCACUGCCAUGACAUGAGCAGCUUUCCACUGCCAGAGCCUUUCACCAUGCUGUUUCUACCUUAAAGUCAGCCAACCAGAGUUCUCAACCUAUUUUGGUAUCAAGGUUAUACUAACUACAGCCUAGGCAUGGUGGAGCCUGCCCAUAAUACCAAUACUCUUGGGGGGCAAUGUAAGAAGAUCUCAAGUUCCAGCCCAGCCUGGGAAUCUUAACACCUUAACAAGACCCUAUUUCAAUUUUUAAAAAAAAUUUUUUUUAAAGACUGGAGAUAUAGCUCCCCAGUACCACAAAGAAAGAGAUUAUACUAAUUUCAUAAAAUAAGCUCAGUAACCUUUACUCCUUUUCUGUUUUCUGAAAUAUUACUAAGUGGGAUCAUUUGUUCAAUGAAAUUUGGUAAAACUCACCUGUAAAACCAAUUGGCCUUGUUUCUUUGACAAAGGAUAGCAGAAAG
rnacentral:lncRNA from 1 species